rnacentral:rRNA from 1 species
AGAAUCAACGCUGGCGGCGUGCCUAACACAUGCAAGUCGAACGCGAAAGCCCCGCAAGGGGUAAGUAGAGUGGCAAACGGGUGAGUAACACGUGGGUGACCUGCCUUCGAGUGGGGGAUAACGUCCCGAAAGGGACGCUAAUACCGCAUAAUAUCCUGCCUUUUAAGAGGUGGACAUCAAAGCUGGGGACCGCAAGGCCUGGCGCUUGAAGAGGGGCCCGCGCCUGAUUAGCUAGUUGGUGGGGUAAUGGCUCACCAAGGCAUCGAUCAGUA